AGGCUGGUGCAAAAGUAAUUGUGGAUUUUGUCAUUACUUUCAAUGGCAAAAACAACAAUUACUUUUGCAACAACCU
ensembl:miRNA cja-mir-548c-1 cja-mir-548c-1